rnacentral:rRNA from 1 species
CCAGACUCCUACGGGAGGCAGCAGUGGGGAAUAUUGCACAAUGGGGGAAACCCUGAUGCAGCGACGCCGCGUGAGUGAAGAAGUAUUUCGGUAUGUAAAGCUCUAUCAGCAGGAAAGAAAAUGACGGUACCUGACUAAGAAGCCCCGGCUAACUACGUGCCAGCAGCCGCGGUAAUACGUAGGGGGCAAGCGUUAUCCGGAUUUACUGGGUGUAAAGGGAGCGUAGACCGUGAAGCAAGUCUGAAGUGAAAGGCGGGGGCUCAACCCCCGGACUGCUUUGGAACUGCUUGGCUGGAGUGCGGGAGGGGCAGGCGGAAUUCCUGGUGUAGCGGUGAAAUGCGUAGAUAUCAGGAGGAACACCGGUGGCGAAGGCGGCCUGCUGGACUGCGACUGACGUUGAGGCCCGAAAGCGUGGGGAGCAAACAGGAUUAGAUACCCCAGUA